GGAUUUCAUUUGUAGCAAUACCGAUGAAAUCUAGUGGCGAACGGGUGCGUAACACGUGAGCAAUCUGCCGGGAAGUGGGGGAUAACUCGCCGAAAGGCGAAUUAAUACCGCAUAUGGCCAGGGAGGACAUCCUCCCGAAGCCAAAGUCGCAAGACGCUUCCUGAUGAGCUCGCGGCCUAUCAGCUAGUUGGUGAGGUAACGGCUCACCAAGGCUAUGACGGGUAGCUGGUCUGAGAGGACGACCAGCCACACUGGAACUGAGACACGGUCCAGACACCUACGGGUGGCAGCAGUCGAGAAUUUUUCACAAUGGGGGAAACCCUGAUGGAGCGACGCCGCGUGGAGGAUGAAGGUUUUCGGAUUGUAAACUCCUGUCAAAUGGGAACAAGAAAGUGAUAGUACCAUUAGAGGAAGAGACGGCUAACUCUGUGCCAGCAGCCGCGGUAAUACAGAGGUCUCAAGCGUUGUUCGGAUUCAUUGGGCGUAAAGGGUGCGCAGGCUGUGGGGUAAGUCGGAUGUGAAAUUUAGGGGCUCAACCUCUAAACUGCAUUCGAUACUGCUCCGCUAGAAGUAUGUAGAGGAGAUUGGAAUUCACGGUGUAGCAGUGAAAUGCGUAGAUAUCGUGAGGAAGACCAGUGGCGAAGGCGAAUCUCUGGGCAUUACCUGACGCUCAUGCACGAAGGCCAGGGGAGCAAACGGGAUUAGAUACCCCGGUAGUC
rnacentral:rRNA from 1 species